GAUGAACGCUAGCUACAGGCUUAACACAUGCAAGUCGAGGGGAAACGGCAUUGAGUGCUUGCACUCUUUGGACGUCGACCGGCGCACGGGUGAGUAACGCGUAUCCAACUUUCCCAUUACUGUGGGAUAACCUGCCGAAAGGCAGACUAAUACCGCAUAGUCUUCGAUGACGGCAUCAGAUUUGAAGUAAAGAUUUAUCGGUAAUGGAUGGGGAUGCGUCUGAUUAGCUUGUUGGCGGGGUAACGGCCCACCAAGGCAACGAUCAGUAGGGGUUCUGAGAGGAAGGUCCCCCACAUUGGAACUGAGACACGGUCCAAACUCCUACGGGAGGCAGCAGUGAGGAAUAUUGGUCAAUGGACGGAAGUCUGAACCAGCCAAGUAGCGUGCAGGAUGACGGCCCUAUGGGUUGUAAACUGCUUUUGUAUGGGGAUAAAGUUAGGGACGUGUCCCUAUUUGCAGGUACCAUACGAAUAAGGACCGGCUAAUUCCGUGCCAGCAGCCGCGGUAAUACGGAAGGUCCAGGCGUUAUCCGGAUUUAUUGGGUUUAAAGGGAGCGUAGGCUGGAGAUUAAGUGUGUUGUGAAAUGUAGACGCUCAACGUCUGAAUUGCAGCGCAUACUGGUUUCCUUGAGUACGCACAACGUUGGCGGAAUUCGUCGUGUAGCGGUGAAAUGCUUAGAUAUGACGAAGAACUCCGAUUGCGAAGGCAGCUGACGGGAGCGCAACUGACGCUUAAGCUCGAAGGUGCGGGUAUCAAACAGG
rnacentral:rRNA from 1 species